CUCCUAUGGGAGGCAGAGUGGGGAAUAUUGCACAAUGGGCGCACUGUAUGCAGCAACGCCGCGUGAGGGAAGACGGUUUUCGGAUUGUAAACCUCUGUCUUUGGUGACGAAGAAGUGACGGUAGCCAAGGAGGAAGCCAACGAGCUAACUACGUGCCAGCAGCCGCGGUAAUACGUAAGUGGCAAGCGUUAUCCGGAAUUACUGGGUGUAAAGGGAGCGCAGGCGGGAUAGCAAGUCAGCGGUGAAAUGCAUGGGCUUAACUCAUGAGCUGCCGUUGAAACUGUUAUUCUUGGGUGGAGUAGAGGCAGGCGGAAUUCCGAGUGUAGCGGUGAAAUGCGUAGAUAUUCGGAGGAACACCAGUGGCGAAGGCGGCCUGCUGGGCUCUAACUGACGCUGAGGCUCGAAAGUGUGGGGAGCAAACAGGAUUAGAUACCCUGGUAGUCCACACUGUAAACGAUGAUUGCUAGGUGUGGGGGUCUGACCCCCCUCCGUGCCGGAGUUAACGCAAUAAGCAAUCCACCUGGGGAGUACGGCCGCAAGGUUGAAACUCAAAGGAAUUGACGGGGGCCCGCACAAGCAGUGGAUUAUGUGGUUUAAUUCGAAGCAACGCGAAGAACCUUACCAGGUCUUGACAUCCAACUAACGAGAUAGAGAUAUGUCAGGUGCCCUUCGGGGAAAGUUGAGACAGGUGGUGCAUGGUUGUCGUCAGCUCGUGUCGUGAGAUGUUGGGUUAAGUCUCGCAACGAGCGCAACCCCUGCCAUUAGUUGCUACGCAAGAGCACUCUAAUGGGACCGCUACCGACAAGGUGGAGGAAGGUGGGGACGACGUCAAAUCAUCAUGCCCCUUAUGACCUGGGCUACACACGUAAUACAAUGGCCGUUAACAGAGGGAAGCAAAACCGCGAGGCAGAGCAAAACCCUAAAAACGGUCCCAGUUCGGAUCGUAGGCUGCAACCCGCCUGCGUGAAGUUGGAAUUGCUAGUAAUCGCGGAUCAGCAUGCCGCGGUGAAUACGUUCCCGGGCCUUGUACACACCGC
rnacentral:rRNA from 1 species